AUGAACCUGUACAACUUCACACACUCUACCAUCAACUUUAGUUUUGUAGAACAGUCCUGGUUUCAGCCAGGGGUGAGCUGCCAGCAGAAGGUGCAACAGAGCCCAGAAUCCCUCAGUGUCCCAGAAGAAGCCAUGGCCUCUCUCAACUGCACUUUCAGUGACAGUACUUCCAACGACUUCAGGUGGUACAGGCAGAAUUCUGGGAAAGGCCUUGAGUUGAUGAUGUCCAUCUUCUCCAAUGGUGACAAGGAAGAAGGCAGAUUCACAGCUCACCUCAAUAGAGCCAGCCUGCAUGUUUCCCUGCACAUCAGAGACUCCGAGCCCAGUGACUCAGCUGUCUACCUCUGUGCAGUGAGCACACAGUACUUUCUAGGCACCUGCAGCCUGCACCCAAACCUACUGUCCCCACUCCCCACAAGGCCUGAAUAG